GCAGAGUAGACGUGCGGGCGUAAAGUGCCGGGUGAACAGGGAGUUGUCACCUGGACGAAAAGACGGGAAGUCUUGCGGUCCGCAUAUCGCAUCCCGCUGC
rnacentral:ncRNA from 1 species